rnacentral:tRNA from 1 species
GCCGUGUUAGCUCAGUGGUAGAGCAUCCGCCUCAUAAGCGGAAGGCCGCCGGUUCGACUCCGGCACACGGCACUA